GAAUUUUUUAACGAAUCACUCCAGCAAGCCAGUUAUGGAAACCAGGCAAACCCAGCUACUAACUUAAAUAUUGGACGGCAGAUCUUUUUAAUAAUGAUGUAACUAAAAGAUUUAUAUCAGGACAUACAACUAGGAACCUCAGAGCUGAAUUCGGAACUUAGUUUUGGUCUGCUUCAAAGUGUGUGCUCUACAUUAAAUCCUACUGCUACCACCCACAAAGACCUGAUUUUUAACCCAGACCUCAUAUAGUUCCUGUGGAGAAAAUACAUGUGGAUUAGUAAAUAAAAGUCAAGUAGGUCUGAGGGUUGGAGGGACUGGUUCUUUAUUUCAAAAAGACACUUGUCAAUUUUCAGUAUCAAAACAGUUGCACUAUUGGUUUCUCUUUCUCCCAAUUGGCCCCCAAAGAGACCACACCAAA